CUACGGGUUGCAGCAGUGGGGAAUAUUGGACAAUGGGGGAAACCCUGAUCCAGCAAUGCCGCGUGUGUGAAGAAGGCCUGUGGGUUGUAAAGCACUUUCGGUUGGGAGGACUGCUUCUAGCACUAAUAUUGUUGGAAGUUGACGUUACCUUCAGAAGAAGCACCGGCUAACUCCGUGCCAGCAGCCGCGGUAAUACGGAGGGUGCAGGCGUUAAUCGGAAUUACUGGGCGUAAAGCGCGCGUAGGCGGCUAGAUCAGUCGGGUGUGAAAGCCCCGGGCUUAACCUGGGAACUGCAUCCGAUACUGUCUAGCUUGAGUACAGGAGAGGAGAGUGGAAUUCCACAUGUAGCGGUGAAAUGCGUAGAUAUGUGGAGGAACACCAAUGGCGAAGGCAGCUCUCUGGCCUGAUACUGACGCUGAGGUGCGAAAGCGUGGGGAGCAAACAGGAUUAGAUACCCUAGUAGUC
rnacentral:rRNA from 1 species